CCUUCGGGAGGCAGCAGUGAGGAAUAUUGGUCAAUGGGCGCGAGCCUGAACCAGCCAAGCAGCGUGAAGGAUGACUGCCCUACGGGUUGUAAACUUCUUUUAUAAAGGAAUAAAGUGAGGCACGUGCGCCUAUUUGUAUGUACUUUACGAAUAAGGAGCGGCUAACUCCGUGCCAGCAGCCGCGGUAAUACGGAGGAUCCGAGCGUUAUCCGGAUUUAUUGGGGUUAAAGGGAGCGUAGAUGGGUUGUUAAGUCAGUUGUGAAAGUUUGCGGCUCAACCGUCAAAUUGCAAUUGAUACUGGCAGCCUUGAGUACAGUAGAGGCAGGCGGAAUUCGUGGUGUAGCGGUGAAAUGCUUAGAUAUCACGAAGAACUCCGAUGGCGAAGGCAGCCUGCUAGACUGCCACUGACAUUGAUGCUCGAAAGUGUGGGUAGCAAACAGGAUUAGAUACCCUGGUAGUC
rnacentral:rRNA from 1 species